ACUGCCCCUUGAGGUGUUGCUGUGCCCCACGUAUGUCAGCAGGCGGCAGAGAAAAAGGCUGCUAUGUCAGUGCUCAGUGCUCUGGCCAGUGAACACCUGAAUGAUCAAUAUGCAGAUAGC